rnacentral:rRNA from 1 species
UCUGAUAAAUCAUAGAAGGUCCAGCCUGCCCAGUGAAUUAAUUUAACGGCCGCGGUAUCCUAACCGUGCGAAGGUAGCGUAAUCACUUGUUCUUUAAAUAAGGACUAGUAUGAAUGGCACCACGAAGGUUAUACUGUCUCCCUUUUUUGAUCAGUUAAACUAAUCUUCACGUGAAGAAGCGUGAAUAAAUAUAUAAGACGAGAAGACCCUAUGGAGCUUAAAAUUACGCAACAAUUGCUAUUAAUCUUAAAUUUUAUGAAUAAUUUUUUACUAAACACCAUGAUUGCUAAUUUUUGGUUGGGGUGACCGCGGAGUAAAAAUUAACCUCCACAAUGAAAGAAAUCAUAUUCUAAACUAAGAGCCACAACUCAAAGUAUUAAUAUUUUAACAUUCUUUGAUCCAAUUAUUUGAUCAACGAAC